UACGUAGGGGGCGAGCGUUGUUCGGAAUUACUGGGCGUAAAGGGCGCGCAGGCGGCCUUAUAAGUCAGAUGUGAAAGCCCCGGGCUCAACCUGGGAAUGGCAUUUGAUACUCUGAGGCUGGAGUACGGGAGAGGAGAGUGGAAUUCCCAGUGUAGAGGUGAAAUUCGUAGAUAUUGGGAAGAACACCGGUGGCGAAGGCGGCUCUCUGGACCGUAACUGACGCUGAGGCGCGAAAGCGUGGGGAGCAAACAGG
rnacentral:rRNA from 1 species